CUUAGAUGUCCUGUACGAAGAGCUGAAGCAUGACGACCUCGACUGGACAAAAGAGGGGUGCAGCGACUACACAAAGGAAUUGACAUUGGAUUUUUAUGAAGACUACUGGACAAAAUUUAAUUUUGAUCCGACCAAUUUAUUUGAUUACGAUCAUCAGCAUUCAGAAAUAGAGGACACUUCUGAUUCAGCUGGUGCGGAUGUCAAAGACCUGGACAAACUAUGGCACAAAAUAGAGCACGAAAUAGAUGACAUAAAAUUGAAUCCAUUUGACGAAGAGAGGUGGAAGGAAGAU